AUACUAAGAUGAUGAAGACCGUUGCUACACAUUUUUCUCUAGUGUUGGAUGCGGUACGUGAUGGAAAAGCUUCUACUCAACUUAUAGAUGCUGCAAAGUCAGCUAUGCAUUUGAUUACUACAGAGGAUCAAGAUGAUGGUGAAGGAAAAGAAGCCAAGGAUCCAUUAAAUUAGUACAACUCGUAAGUUAUUAAUGAUUUGAAAAGGUCUUGUAAAAGAUAUAUUUCUUUUGUUAUGUUUUUUUUGUAAGGUUUUAAGAAGUUGAUAUAGUAGACAUUAUCUAAUUGACUUA